CCAGCGUCCUAAACUGUUGAGAUCUCCUUCCCUGGUUUAAUGGCCCAACGUAAUACCGUCGGUACAUGAGAGGGGGCGGCUAGAUUUACGACGGGGAUGCAUGCAAAAUGCAGCCUCCGUCGAGAAGUGUUGCAAGCUAAAUUAACCUACUGUUGUUAACUGGCAAUGCAGCGACCGCUCGCAGUACGUGGCCAGCACAGUCAUCGUGCUGUGCAUCGUAGCCCUGGCGCUGGGCUACAUCUUCACGACGACAGAUCGUGCCGGCCCGACAUCGACUGCCGUCACGACUGCGGGGUCUCCAGCAUAGCUGGAAACAACUAACCCUACGACUACGAAGGCUCCAGACAUUCCAGGUGCCGGCCCGACAUCGACUGCCGUCACGACUGCGGGGUCUCCAGCAUAGCUGGAAACAACUAACCCUACGACUACGAAGGCUCCAGACAUUCCAGGCACGGUCAUAUGCAUCACAACAGGGAUCAAGGUAGACGAUGAGAUCAACAAGACCAAGAAGGCUCUCAAUGAGCUGUGUUCGAAAAUUUUGGUUUUGUUCAACUAUGACGCAACGAAAAACUUGACGCAGAGCUCCGAGACAAGUGGCGAAAAGGAACCGACCGCUCGCAGUACGUGGCCAGCACAGUCAUCGUGCUGUGCAUCGUAGCCCUGGCGCUGGGCUACAUCUUCACGACGACAGAUCGUGCCGGCCCGACAUCGACUGCCGUCACGACUGCGGGGUCUCCAGCAUAGCUGGAAACAACUAACCCUACGACUACGAAGGCUCCAGACAUUCCAGGUGCCGGCCCGACAUCGACUGCCGUCACGACUGCGGGGUCUCCAGCAUAGCUGGAAACAACUAACCCUACGACUACGAAGGCUCCAGACAUUCCAGGUGAGAGUUGAGAACACGACGCAUCGCAAAGAACCAUGGAGCGAUAAAUAUUAGCGGGAAUUAGAUUGUGGCGGGUUCCGCAAACGUGUCGAUGGACGGCACGUUAAUCCACACAACACAGAGAGCACAUGCAUAGAUGGGCCCAUGCACAACACAUAGUGCUUCGUGUAUGUGCCUCUUUUGUCCAUCAAAUGCGAUCCCGUGCAGCAGUGUUGUUUUCUUACGCGCGAGCGUAUAAGACCU